GUGCUCACUUCAGAAGCACAUAUACUGAAAUUGGAACAAUACAGAGACCAGCAUGGUCCCUGUGUAAGGAUGACACACAAAUUCGUGAAGCACUGCAUAUUUUA
ensembl:snRNA U6 U6 spliceosomal RNA